rfam:Homo sapiens chromosome 1, GRCh38 reference primary assembly.
UGACCCUGGAAAUCCAGAGUGGGUGGGGCCAGUCUGACCGUUUCUAGGCGACCCACUCUUGGUUUCCAGGGUUG